rnacentral:rRNA from 1 species
CAGCAGCCGCGGGAAAACGUAGGUGGCAAGCGUUGUCCGGAAUUAUUGGGCGUGAAGGGCUCGCAGGCGGUUUCUUAAGUCUGAUGUGAAAGCCCCCGGCUCAACCGGGGAGGGUCAUUGGAAACUGGGAAACUUGAGUGCAGAAGAGGAGAGUGGAAUUCCACGUGUAGCGGUGAAAUGCGUAGAGAUGUGGAGGAACACCAGUGGCGAAGGCGACUCUCUGGUCUGUAACUGACGCUGAGGAGCGAAAGCGUGGGGAGCGAACAGGAUUAGAUACCCCAGUAGUCCCUGUCUCUUAUAC